UUUCAGGAAAAUGACACAAA
rnacentral:miRNA from 1 species